GAUUUGUGAAAUCGAAUAAGCCAGAGUUAUGAAAAGACAAGUAUUUAAUUCAACCUUGGGACGGGAAAUUCCUCAAGAAAGGACUAUACUAUGCAGUUCCUAUAUAAUUUGCUAUCUUCAAUUCUUAAGAGAGGACACAUUCAAACUACUCUUACAAAAGAACUCCAAAAAAUAGAAAGGAGUGGAAAAGAAGAUGAUUUUCAUCGAAAGAUUUGGAGCUUCAAAAUUCAAUUUUCAACUUUCCACGUUCAGCUUUCG